GAUGAACGCUGGCGGCGUGCUUAACACAUGCAAGUCGAACGGAAAGGCUCCUGCUUGCAGGGGUACUCGAGUGGCGAACGGGUGAGUAACACGUGGGUGAUCUGCCCUGCACUUCGGGAUAAGCCUGGGAAACUGGGUCUAAUACCGGAUAGGACCACAUUUUGGAUGGUGUGGUGGAAAGUUUUUCGGGGUGGGAUGAGCUCGCGGCCUAUCAGCUUGUUGGUGGGGUAAUGGCCUACCAAGGCGUCGACGGGUAGCCGGCCUGAGAGGGUGUACGGCCACAUUGGGGCUGUGAUACGGCCCAGACUCCGACGGGAGGCAGCAGUGGGGAAUAUUGCACAAUGGGCGCAAGCCUGAUGCAGCGACGCCGCGUGGGGGAUGACGGCCUUCGGGUUGUAAACUCCUUUCGCUAGGGACGAAGCGUUUUUGUGACGGUACCUGGAGAAGAAGCACCGGCUAACUACGUG
rnacentral:rRNA from 1 species